GCGUCACCAUGGGGUCAUCGUCGAUGUUGAACUUGUUGUCGGUGGACCAGGUUUCCAUGGCGACCAGCACGAUUCGGGUAUUGAGCUGUUCCCUGAAAAUCUAAGGAAGAUGUAUACAUUUCUGAAUAGCCUGCUUUGUACGAUCAUUUUCAAGGACAUGGCAAAAAAGGGUGACCUUUGUGAACCUAUAUCGGCCUAUCAUCUUGCAGAAGUGACCUGCAGGCUAGAGGACAUGCACACACAGUCACAAAUAAUAAAACGUUUACAUUUUCUGUUAGUUUUGUUGCAUUGCAACUGCUGACCAAAAAGUCUAAGAUCCGAAAAAAAAUAGAAAAAAAAA